GAAUAAUACUCUACCUCUGGAUCCUAGAGGAUUAGAAUCCAACCUAUGCCUGGACACUGACAUGAAGAUGGAAGGUUCAAGACUCAGGAACAUUGAACCGUCCUCUCUCCUCAAUUAACAACCAAGACAAGCCCACCAGACAUGACUCCAGGUCAUUCCGACCUCGGCAAUCCCCCAGGAGCAAGGAUAUUCGGCAGACGUUCAUGUCCUUUCACUGACUGUUGAAAUAAGCAUCCCCUCUAGGUGUGGUGGCAUAUGCCUUCAAUUCCAUCACUGGAGAGGAAGAAGCAAGAAGAACUCUGUGAGUUUGAGGCCAGCCUGGUAUACUUAUCAAGUUCUAAAUCAGCCAGGGUUAUAUUGUAAGACCUUGUCUCAAAACAAGCAAGCAAGCAAACAAACAAACAAAAAACCAA